AUGGAGGCCCAGGAGUUGGGUGGGGAGACAGGGGUAUGUAGCUAUCUUGUUGCAGUGACAGAGGCUUAGCAGAUGUUGGAAGGAAGGGGAGGGCUGUUGUCUUGCAUCAGUAUAGUCUCUAUUUUUGACUUUUACAUGUGUGUGGGUUUUUUAAUGUUUUUGUUGUGUUGUCUGGACUUUGUUGUUUUUUUUGUGAUGCUUGGAGUGUUUCAUAAAAGAUCUCCAAGGCCCUGCUGACAUUCUAGGGUUCUGUUUUGUGGUCCGUGCAGUGCGCGAAAGGACCACUGCAGAUGGCUGCUUUUUGGGUUCAGUAGGAAACAGGGUGGAGGAAGCCGGGAAAAUUAUCAGACUGUUGCCAUCACUGAACAAAAAAAGCCAGCUAAAUUCCUGCCAGACUACGGGAGCUGGUUGGGUCAUAGCCGUGUUGUGAAGCUCACUGUCUUUGUAUCUGGGAGAACGUUGCUUUGCUCCUUUACGUAAAGUGUGUCCAGAUGCCAGCAUGAGACAGGCACUUCAUGGAAACGUCUGAUUGCUAACAGACGGCACAGGCAUGCAGGGCUAAAAGCCACCUGCACAAACUCCUUGGCAGAUUCAAACCGAGGCUGUCUCCCCAGUCAGCUGCAAGCUUACUAACUGCUGACACUUCAGCACCAGCUGUAAGAGACUUGGCACUGCCAAGGUGUUUGCUUAAUCUCUAGGGGCAGAGUGCAGGCCUUGUCAUGUCAUUUUGCUCCCUGCCAAGCCUGGCAUCCGGUGACUCAGCAAGGGAGCUGCUUGCGUGUCAACUUCAUCACCGAACAUAGCACAUGUGGGGCCAAAUCCAUCCCUGGUGGAAUACUGCUGAUUUCAGGAAAGCACGACUGUGUUGUAUAAAUUACAUACAUAGGCUGCAAGCAGAGGGUCCCUUCUGUUUGUGGAUCACACAUACAUACACCCCAGUAUCCCGCACAGAAGGCGGGAUCAGUUGUCUUUGUCUCCUGGCACCAUUCCACCUGUCUCUAGAUUUGCAGGGAAACUCAAUGCUCUAUGAGUAGGAUGGGAUGGGAGUGGACUGGGGAAGAGGCAAGGACACCCAUGCACUCUGACUCCUGGCAAGCAACAAUAAAUCCUCCUCAAAAUUAAUGCCGCUUGGGGCUGCAUUGGCCUUUUGGGAGAGAUGGGACUCGAACUUCCUGCUUGCUCUAUAUGAAUAAAUUCCCUUCCUUCCUAAUGGGAUGAUCCAAGGGAAACUCUGAGACACAGAGGUCCCAUUUCCUGCCCCCCUCCCUCAUGCCUCCUCCUGGGGUUUUUUUUGGUGGUUUGUUUGUUUGUUUUUUUCCAAGUGUAUGGGGUGUAUCCUCUAAGAUGAUUGUCAAUAAACCACCCUAUGCCCAAAAGGUAGUGAAGUGCCUCCAUGAAGCAUUUUCUUCCUUGGAGCAGACUUUAAUACUAAUGCCCUGGUUUUACUACUGCCCCAUUAGAUGAGAGUUGUGGCAUUUAUCAAUGAGAUCCCAUCCUCCAAUGUUCCUCAGCCUGUGAGCUGCCUCUGUGAUUCUGAUUUCAAAUUCAGAUCAGCUGAGGCCUCUUAGCUUCUGCUCCACCUGCUUAUUAGAAUCAAAGCUCAUUCACCUUCCAUCAGGUUGUGGGGAAAGAGGCAAGGCUCAAAUCGGACUCAAUUUUACCUUUCUGCCUCUUAGUGCAAUUAAUUUUGUCUUGGUGGCUGUGGACCAGGGCAAUUAAAAUCCUCUCUGACUU